rnacentral:rRNA from 1 species
UACAGAGGGUGCAAGCGUUGUUCGGAAUUAUUGGGCGUAAAGCGCGUGUAGGCGGCUUGGCAAGUCGGGUGUGAAAGCCCUCAGCUCAACUGAGGAAGUGCGCCCGAAACUGCUUGGCUUGAGUGUCGGAGAGGAUGGCGGAAUUCCCCAAGUAGAGGUGAAAUUCGUAGAUAUGGGGAGGAACACCGGUGGCGAAGGCGGCCAUCUGGCCGAUAACUGACGCUGAGACGCGAAAGCGUGGGUAGCAAACAGG